rnacentral:sRNA from 1 species
AUUUUUUAUUGAACGGCCUUCCACCCCAACAGCACAGUCUAGAACAUACAGUUGUUAUAAGCAGAAAAAUACCUUUAAAGCUUUAGUUGCUGUUACUCCUUCGGGAGCUUUCAUGUUCAUUUCAAAUCGUUGGGGUGGAGAUGUAUCAGACAGGUACAUAACUGAACACUGUGAAUUUUUAGAUAUUGUAAAACCUGGUGAUGAAGUGAUGGCAGAUAGGGGCUUUUUGAUAAGAGAUUUACUGUUAGAAAGAAGGGCUACAUUGAAUAUACCACCAUUUACCAAAAAGUGUUCAUGGGGGAAAGGUAAACAUCUCACUGCACAUGAUGUUUUGAAAACAAAAAAAAAUUGCAAAGCUUCGUAUCCAUGUGGAACGAGCAAUAGGUAGAUUAAAGAACUACAAAAUUUUAUCUCACACUAUUCCACUGAAAAUAAAACCUCUGUGUAACCAAAUUGUAAAAGUGUGUGCCUUUUUAAGCAACUGUCAGGAACCUUUAGUGAAAUGAAAAGUGAAAAAAAUGAUUGUAUCAGUUGAAACUAUUGCUCAAUGUGUGAUUUUUAAAGCAAUUAUCAGGAACUUUUAGUGACAUAACAUGUAACAAGAUACCGAUAGUUCAUUGUAUUCCUGAUGAGUGCAAGUUGUAUGCAUCUUAAAUGAAAAUUUACUCAUGU